AUAUUUUGAAUAAAGUAAUUAUACACAUUGUCUUAGUGAAAUAAAUUUUAUUUUUAUUAAACACUUUAGUACCUCAAAAGAAAUAAAUAAAAAGUUAAAGAUUAAUAAAAAUGCUACGAUCUAAGAAUAAGUUUGGUAUUUACAAUUACUUAAAAAGCUUGGUAUUUACAAUUAUAUAAUCGUGCUAAAGUUUGCUAGCUUUUUUAUAUUCUACAAUUAAAAGAUCUAAUUGGAAACGAAAAAUAUAAUACAUAAACGUGCAAAAGCAUAGAAGAAACUCAAAAUACUCAUGAAAAUACAUAAAAGAUCCAACAAUUAUUCACCAACCCAAGAUCAAAAGUAAUAAAAUCAUCAUAAAGGUGAUAAAUAUAUUUAUCUUUUUAUCAACUUCACAUAUAAACAACAUCAACAUAGAUGUGAAACCUAGCGAAUUAAAGAUAGAAAACGAAUAACCAAAUAGUACUAAAACAUUGAUGUUUUCAUAAACCCGGUUCCAUUAUUCUAAAACCAUAACCUGCACAAUAUGAAUAACAGGUUCACAAAAAAGAUUAUUGGAACAAACAUAUCUAUUUUGUAGACUCAUUUCUUCCAUCGGUAUGAUAGUAACAAAUAAAAUUUAUACAUACAUAUACAAUCCAAAUGAUCAAAAUCCCAACAAGUUUAUACAUAAACACAUAUAUAUUAACACCUCAACAGUUCAACACAUUGAUUCAUACAUAGACAGAUUUAGAUAUGCAUAUAAACACUGAUAUAUAGAGGUUCGUACCCCCAUCAACAAAUAGAUACAUGAAAAAACUAUUAGAGAAAGAAGGCGGAGAGAUAGUAAUGAGCAACAGAAGACGGAGACGCUGCCAAGAAGGGUAAAGAACGGCCGACAAAAUAUUUACAUUCUUUGGGUUUUUUAUUUUUCUGGUUUGAUGACUUGCAUGCCAGAUUUGGAUCUAGUUCAACCAUAUAUGUUACGUUAAUGAAUAGAUCCAAAAAAAAGGUCACAUGGGAGACGCGACAAUAUGCUUUUCUUUAAUGUUUAUGGAACUUUCUGAUUAUUCCGGUGGGGAGAGAUAUAGAAAGGAUAAUAGCUUGGUUUACUGGAGAUGAGGGUCGGUUCAGUGAUGGUGGUGAUGGUGGCGACGACAAGGAAGAUGUUUGAUGUUCUAGGGUUUUCUAGAGGGAUUGAGAGAAGGGGGAAGAUAGAAAUAAAAUGAUCUAUUCCCUUACGUGAGUUCUUAAUGGGUGUUUUAGUGGAUGAUUGAUUGAGUUUUGUUAUUUUAUAGCUACAAAAUAUGGGUAUUUUAAACCUUUUAUUUUUGAUUGGUUGAUUUUUAUUCACUUGGAUUACCAUCUUAUACCAUUGAAAUUUAAUCUAAGGCUAAAAUUUAACCUCCUUGUUGUAACAUCCGGUUUCCCAGGUAUUAUAUUUUUGUUCUUUUAUUUUUGGGUGUUGAGGGGAGACUCGGCGAGUUGGCGUCUAGACUCGCCGAGUAUGGUCGCGGAUUCGUAUGCGAGUUCACAGCUGGACUCGGCGAGUCCACGUUGUUUAAUGAAACCCUAAUUUCUAGGGUUUGAGACCUAUUUAAAGGGUCUUAGGGCCGUCAUUUGCGGCCACCAACCCCCAAAGAGAAACCCUAAGAGAUCUAGAGCAUUUGUGAGGAAGGAGAGGCCAUUCUUGAACCUUUUGUGGGUGUUUUUGCAAGAAGGAAGUGUUUAAGGAAAGAGGAGGCUGAAGGAGGUGCGAUUUUGGUGGUUUUUGAGCUCAUAGAGAUUGUAUUGAGGCGGAGGCUAGAUCACAUUUCUACCGAGUGAGAUACUUACCGAGACAUCGAGACUGGACCGGAGGGUCCAACGAGCUAUGACCGGACCAAAAGGUCCAACGAGCUACGGGACUGGAGGGUCCUACUGAGACACAUCGACUGGAAGGUACUAGUGAUGAGCGCGGGAAGGCGCCGACAUGAUUCGUACACACUUAUGGAGUUUAUGUUUGAGAUUCUUGGGAGAUGUUUUAUGAUGAUAACAAUUGAUACAAUAUGUUUUGACAAUAUUUUAUGAGUAUGUGUAUGUUUUAAAAAUGAAAA